rnacentral:misc_RNA from 1 species
GUGAAUCAUCAAAUUUUUGAACGCAAAUUGCACUCUCCUCGGAGAGUAUGCCUGUUUGUGGGUCAGCCUAUUAAAAAUCGACAUCGUUGCUGUUUCGUGGUGGCGUGCGUCGGAAAUUGGGGCAUCUUAAAUAAGUUUGAUUUAAGAGACUUAAAAUUUUAUUUUGGUUCCAUGAACGUUUAUAAGAUCUAGUUCUUUACACGUUUAAGGUAUCGACUUUUACUAGACGUGAUAAUCAUAUCGGAUCGCGUCCAAAAUACUUCAUUUAAUGACAUCA